rnacentral:lncRNA from 1 species
UUGGUUCAAAUUAAUCAAAGGCCCAUGUUAGCAAUCCAUACUCAUUUCUAAUAUCCAAUCAUAAAAUAGAAAUUUAAAUAAAUAGUUAAAUAGAAAAUCAGAAAAUAUUAAAAAAUAUCUCUUUCAAUCCAACCAUACUCAUUUCUAAUAUCCAAUCAUAAAAUAGAAAUUUAAAUAAAUAGUUAAAUAGAAAAUCAGAAAAUAUUAAAAAAUAUCUCUUUCAAUCCAAUUGUCAGGUGCCACGUGGCAAUCUUAUCUUAUUGUGAGUGGUACAUGGCUGGC